GAGUUUGAUCAUGGCUCAGAUUGAACGCUGGCGGCAGGCCUAACACAUGCAAGUCGAGCGGAUGAGAGGAGCUUGCUCCUUGAUUUAGCGGCGGACGGGUGAGUAAUGCCUAGGAAUCUGCCUGGUAGUGGGGGACAACGUUUCGAAAGGGACGCUAAUACCGCAUACGUCCUACGGGAGAAAGCAGGGGACCUUCGGGCCUUGCGCUAUCAGAUGAGCCUAGGUCGGAUUAGCUAGUUGGUGAGGUAAAGGCUCACCAAGGCGACGAUCCGUAACUGGUCUGAGAGGAUGAUCAGUCACACUGGAACUGAGACACGGUCCAGACUCCUACGGGAGGCAGCAGUGGGGAAUAUUGGACAAUGGGCGAAAGCCUGAUCCAGCCAUGCCGCGUGUGUGAAGAAGGUCUUCGGAUUGUAAAGCACUUUAAGUUGGGAGGAAGGGCAGUAAGUUAAUACCUUGCUGUUUUGACGUUACCAACAGAAUAAGCACCGGCUAACUUCGUGCCAGCAGCCGCGGUAAUACGAAGGGUGCAAGCGUUAAUCGGAAUUACUGGGCGUAAAGCGCGCGUAGGUGGUUCGUUAAGUUGGAUGUGAAAGCCCCGGGCUCAACCUGGGAACUGCAUCCAAAACUGGCGAGCUAGAGUAUGGCAGAGGGUAGUGGAAUUUCCUGUGUAGCGGUGAAAUGCGUAGAUAUAGGAAGGAACACCAGUGGCGAAGGCGACCACCUGGGCUAAUACUGA
rnacentral:rRNA from 1 species